rnacentral:rRNA from 14 species
CGUAGUCGAUGGACAAUAGGUUAAUAUUCCUAUACCGUUUUUUAUUGGCAACGAGGGACGAAGAAGGCUAAACUUAUCCAGAUAGUGGUCACUGGUCCAAGCAUUCAAGGUUAUGAGAAAUAGUGAAAAUAUUUUGAGCUGAGAUGUGAUGGGGAGAUACUUAGUAUUGAAGUAGUUGAUGUCAUGCUUCCAAGAAAAGCUU